UACGGGGGGGGCAAGCGUUGUUCGGAAUUACUGGGCGUAAAGGGCUUGUAGGUGGCCAACUAAGUCAGACGUGAAAUCCCUCGGCUUAACCGGGGAACUGCGUCUGAUACUGGAUGGCUUGAGUUUGGGAGAGGGACGCGGAAUUCCCGGUGUAGAGGUGAAAUUCGUAGAUAUCUGGAGGAACACCGGUGGCGAAGGCGCCUAUCUGGCCCGAUACUGACGCUGAGGCGCGAAAGCUAGGGGAGCAAACGGG
rnacentral:rRNA from 1 species